rnacentral:rRNA from 1 species
GACGAACGCUGGCGGCGUGCUUAACACAUGCAAGUCGAACGGAAAGGCCCUGCUUGCAGGGUACUCGAGUGGCGAACGGGUGAGUAACACGUGGGUGAUCUGCCCUGCACUUCGGGAUAAGCCUGGGAAACUGGGUCUAAUACCGGCUAGGAGCCAUUUUUAGUGUGAUGGUUGGAAAGUUUUUUCGGUGUAGGAUGAGCUCGCGGCCUAUCAGCUUGUUGGGGGGGUAAUGGCCUACCAAGGCGGCGACGGGUAGCCGGCCUGCGAGGGUGGACGGCCACAUUGGGACUUAGAGACGGCCCAGACUCCGACGGGAGGCAGCAGUGGGGAAUAUUGCACAAGGGGCGCAAGCCUGAUGCAGCGACGCCGCGUGGGGGAUGACGGCCUUCGGGUUGUAAACUCCUUUCGCUAGGGACGAAGCUUGUUGUGACGGUACCUAGAUAAGAAGCACCGGCUAACUACGUG